rnacentral:lncRNA from 1 species
UACAUAUGCACACGUGACAUCCCAUUUCCACAAUCCCCAUAUUUUGGGCAGUUUUCUACCUGCAUCUACGUAAUCUUUACAAAUUUUCUGUUUGGACUUUGUUAUGUUUUUUUUGGUUGAAAAAAGGGGCUAAAAGCAAGAGCCCAAAUAAACCUACUCAAUAAUAAAUCUAGACCGGGACAUCUCAAGUUGAUCCUCAUGAAUAAAACUAACUGGACAAGAAGGAGUUGUGUCAAAAUAAAAAUUACCUAAUGUAAAUCAAGACUAUAAGUCACUAAAUUGUCCGCCACAAAAUUCUUUUCUCUAUGAACUUUGUUAAGUUGCAUCUAAAGAUAGAUAUCUUAUGAUCAUUAGUUGUCAUACAAUCACUGCCAGGUCAAUCAAAGUUGUUAGAAUAUUGCUAAGCUGUUAAGUGAUUUGUUAGUUGGUUAAUUAGUUAUAACUUACAAGUAAGCUUCUAUUGUGCUUGGUAUAUUAAGAAUUGCAACUUAAAAAUGUAAUGUGUUAGUAAUUUUUCUAAGAAAUACAGAAGUCUCAUUUCUCUCCAAAGUUUCUCUCUAGUUCUUCGUCUUCUCAAUUCUUCAUUGUGCUUUGAUUUUUCCUAAUGCAAUUAAUAGGCUCGUGUGU